rnacentral:misc_RNA from 1 species
GAUGAAGAACGUAGCGAAAUGCGAUAAGUAAUGUGAAUUGCAGAAUUCAGUGAAUCAUCGAAUCUUUGAACGCACAUUGCGCCCCCUGGUAUUCCGGGGGGCAUGCCUGUUCGAGCGUCAUUUCACCACUCAAGCCUCGCUUGGUAUUGGGCAACGCGGUCCGCCGCGUGCCUCAAAUCGACCGGCUGGGUCUUCUGUCCCCUAGCGUUGUGGAAACUAUUCGCUAAAGGGUGUUCGGGAGGCUACGCCGUAAAACAACCCCAUUUCUAAGGUUGACCUCGGAUCAGGUAGGGAUACCCGCUGAACUUAAGCAUAUCAAUAAGCGGAGGA